rnacentral:rRNA from 1 species
UCUGGUUGAUCCUGCCAGUAGGAUAUGCUUGUCUCAAAGAUUAAGCCAUGCAUGUCUAAGUAUAAAUAGUAUACAGUGAAACUGCGAAUGGCUCAUUAAAACAGUUAUAGUUUAUUUGAUAGUGGAAGCCUACAUGGAUAACCGUAGUAAUUCUAGAGCUAAUACAUGCGUGCAAACCUGACUGUAUGGAAAGGUUGUAUUUAUUAGAUACGAAGCCAAUAUUCCCUCACGGGUCUAUUGUGGUGAGUCAUAGUAACUGAUCGAAUCUCCGCAAUGGAGAUAAAUCAUUCAAGUUUCUGCUCUAUCAGCUUUCGAUGGUAGUGUAUUGGACUACCAUGGCAGUCACGGGUAACGGAGAAUUAGGGUUCGAUUCCGGAGAGGGAGCCUGAGAAACGGCUACCACAUCUAAGGAAGGCAGCAGGCGCGUAAAUUACCCAAUCCUGACUCAGGGAGGUAGUGACAAGAAAUAACAACCCGGGGGACUCCCGUCCUUACGGGAUUGCAAUGAGAACAAUUUAAAUCACUUAACGAGGAUCAAUUGGAGGGCAAGUCUGGUGCCAGCAGCCGCGGUAAUUCCAGCUCCAAUAGUGUAUAUUAAAGUUGUUGCAGUUAAAAAGCUCGUAGUUGAACUUCUGGCCGCGCGCAGUUUGGCGUCUUCGUCGGCUGCGUCGCUGUCAUCCGUCUGCAAACUCUACACAACCUUGAGUGGCUUGGUGGGGGGAGUAGACAUUUUACUUUGAAAAAAUUAGAGUGUUUCAAGCAGGUUAUUGCCAGAAUACUUUAGCAUGGAAUAAUGGAAUAGGACUCUUGUCCAUUUGGUUGGUUAUUGGACCAGAGUAAUGAUUAAUAGGGACAGUUGGGGGCAUUAGUAUUUAAUUGUCAGAGGUGAAAUUCAUGGAUUUAUUAAAGACUAACUUAUGCGAAAGCAUUUGCCAAGGAUGUUUUCAUUAAUCAAGAACGAAAGUUAGGGGAUCAAAGACGAUCAGAUACCGUCCUAGUCUUAACUAUAAACGAUGUCGACUCGGGAUUGGAAAGGUAACUGUAUCCUUUCCAGCACCGUAUGAGAAAUCAUUAAGUCUUUGGAUUCUGGGGGGAGUAUGGUCGCAAGGCUGAAACUUAAAGGAAUUGACGGAAGAGUACCACCAGGCGUGGGACCUGCGGCUUAAUUUGACCCAACACGGGAAAACUUAUUUCAGCAAAACAUGAGUGGGAUUGACA